rnacentral:rRNA from 1 species
GACGAACGCUGGCGGCGUGCUUAACACAUGCAAGUCGAACGAUGAACCCGGGGCUUGCUCCGGUGGAUUAGUGGCGAACGGGUGAGUAACACGUGAGUAACCUGCCCUUGACUCUGGGAUAACUGCGGGAAACUGUAGCUAAUACCGGAUACGACCCUCGGCGGCAUCGCCAGGGGGUGGAAAGAAUUUCGGUCAAGGAUGGACUCGCGGCCUAUCAGCUAGUUGGUGAGGUAACGGCUCACCAAGGCGACGACGGGUAGCCGGCCUGGGAGGGUGGCCGGCCACACUGGGACGGAGACACGGCCCAGACUCCUACGGGAGGCAGCAGUGGGGAAUAUUGCACAAUGGGCGCAAGCCUGAUGCAGCAACGCCGCGUGAGGGAUGACGGCCUUCGGGUUGUAAACCUCUUUUAGUAGGGAAGAAGCGAAAGUGACGGUACCUGCAGAAAAAGCACCGGCUAACUGCGUGCCAGCCGCCGCCGUAA